CGACUAGUUCAUCACAGAUGCCGUGUCUGGGGAUAAAUCCACAGACCCAAGGGAGCCUAGCCCAAAAGGCAGUAUUUGCUUUCCAAAGAGAAUAGACCAGAAUUUGCUAGACUGCAAAGGUCCGUCAUGUAGGCAUAAUUGUUUACAGAUUCUAGUAGGGAGGCUGAAGUUGGAACCCUGAGUAUAACAUGUUUGCUUGCAGCCAGGCAUGGUGGUGGUGCACGCCUUUAGUCCCAGCACUCGAGAGGCAGAGGCCGGUGGAUCUACAUCAGUUCAAAGCCAGCCUGGUCUACAAAGUGAGUUCUAGGACAGACGGCCAGAGUUACACAGAGAAACCCUGUCUCGGGGAAAAAACAAACAAAAGGAAGUUUCCCUCAAAUCUGCGAGGCCUUGGGUUCAAUCUCCAAUAGCACAGAAGCCCUCAGCCAGGGUAGUAUUUUCUUGUUUUGGGGCAGGACUAUGCACACCUGUGACCUUACGUCUGAGGAAGCUGGGGCUUCAGGACCACAAGUACCAGGGCAGCCUGGGGUCUGUAUGGGGCCUGAGGAGUGGCAGUGGCAGGGGUUGCCUAGCAUUAAGGAGUUCCUGAACUCAGUCCCCAGUGUCCCCUUCACCAAGUAAAACACAAAACAAAUAUAAAUGGCUUUUAAAGAUUCAUUUUUAUGUAUUUAUGCAUUCAUAUAUGUACUUACUGAGACAGUUCUUUCUACAUGGUCCUGGCUGUCCUGGAACUCUGUGUAGACCAGGAUGGCCUUGAGCUGGCAGAGAUCCACCUGGCUCUACCUUUGGAAUGCUGAGAUUAAAAGCAUGCCCCCUCCCCCCAAAGCUUGUUUUUUAUUUAAAU
rnacentral:lncRNA from 1 species